GGCGCGCUCUGCGCGCACCGGCGGACGGCUCAGUAACACGUCGGUAACCUACCCUCGGGAGGGGGAUAACCCCGGGAAACUGGGGCUAAUCCCCCAUAGGCCUGAGGUACUGGAAGGUCCUCAGGCCGAAAGGGUCUCUGACCGCCCGAGGAUGGGCCGGCGGCCGAUUAGGUAGUUGGUGGGGUAACGGCCCACCAAGCCGAAGAUCGGUACGGGCCAUGAGAGUGGGAGCCCGGAGAUGGACACUGAGACACGGGUCCAGGCCCUACGGGGCGCAGCAGGCGCGAAACCUCCGCAAUGCGGGCAACCGCGACGGGGGGACCCCCAGUGCCGUGGCAUCGCCACGGCUUUUCCGGAGUGUAAAAAGCUCCGGGAAUAAGGGCUGGGCAAGGCCGGUGGCAGCCGCCGCGGUAAUACCGGCGGCCC
rnacentral:rRNA from 1 species